AAAGGAAUUGACGGGGGCCCGCACAAGCGGUGGAGCAUGUGGUUUAAUUCGAAGCAACGCGAAGAACCUUACCAAGGCUUGACAUGGAAACGAAAGCGCUGGAGACAGCGCCCCUCUUCGGAGCGUUUCACACAGGUGGUGCAUGGUUGUCGUCAGCUCGUGUCGUGAGAUGUUGGGUUAAGUCCCGCAACGAGCGCAACCCUUACGUUCAGUUGCCAUCAGGUUAUGCUGGGCACACUGGAGGGACUGCCGUGGACAACACGGAGGAAGGUGGGGACGACGUCAAAUCAUCAUGCCCCUUACGUCUUGGGCUACACACGUGCUACAAUGGCUCUUACAACGUGAAGCAAUGCGGUGACGCGGAGCGGAACACAAAAAGGAGUCCCAGUUCGGAUUGUAGGCUGCAACCCGCCUGCAUGAAGUUGGAAUCGCUAGUAAUCGCGAAUCAGCAUGUCGCGGUGAAUACGUUCCCGGGCCUUGUACACACCGCCCGU
rnacentral:rRNA from 1 species